rnacentral:tRNA from 1 species
GGGGUUGUGGCUCAGUGGUACAGCGCUUGACUGACAUGUAGGGCCUUGAGUUCAAUUCUCAGCACUACA